rnacentral:rRNA from 1 species
CGAACGGGUGAGUAUCACGUGAGCAACCUGCCCCAAAGACUGGGAUAACACCGGGAAACCGGUGCUAAUACUGGAUACCUUUAUUUGAUCGCAUGAUCAGAUAAAGAAAUGUUUUUUCGCUUUNNNNNNNNCUCGCGGUCCAUCAGCUUGUUNNNNNNNUAACGGCCCACCAAGGCUACGACGGAUAGCUGGUCUGAGAGGACGAUCAGCCACACUGGGACUGAGACACGGCCCAGACUCCUACGGGAGGCAGCAGUGGGGAAUCUUGCGCAAUGGACGAAAGUCUGACGCAGCAACGCCGCGUGAGGGACGAAGGCUUUCUGAGUUGUAAACCUCUUUCGACAGGAACGAUAAUGACGGUACCUGUAGAAGAAGCACCGGCCAACUAUGUGCCAGCAGCCGCGGUGAUACAUAGGGUGCAAGCGUUAUUCGGAUUUAUUGGGCGUAAAGAGCUCGUAGGCGGUUCGAUUAGUCGGGUGUUAAACCCCCAGGCUCAACCUGGGGCAGCCAUCCGAAACUGUCGUGACUAGAGUUUGGUAGGGGAUCACGGAAUUCCUGGUGUAGCGGUGGAAUGCGCAGAUAUCAGGAGGAACACCAGCAGCGAANGCGGUGAUCUGGGCCAAUACUGACGCUGAGGAGCGAAAGCGUGGGGAGCGAACAGGAUUAGAUACCCUGGUAGUCCACGCCGUAAACUGUGGGCACUANGUGUGGGAACUUUUCAACGGUUUCCGCGCCGCAGCUAACGCAUUAAGUGCCCCGCCUGGGGAGUACGGUCGCAAGACUAAACUCAAGAAAUUGACGGGGGCCCGCACAGCAGCGGAGCAUGUGGCUUAAUUCGAUGCAACGCGAAA